rnacentral:rRNA from 1 species
UACGGGGGGGGCAAGCGUUGUUCGGAAUUACUGGGCGUAAAGGGCCAGUAGGCGGCCAACUAAGUCGGAUGUGAAAUCCCCAGGCUUAACCUGGGAACUGCAUCCGAUACUGGAUGGCUUGAAUUCGGGAGAGGGAUGCAGAAUUCCAGGUGUAGCGGUGAAAUGCGUAGAUAUCUGGAGGAAUACCGGUGGCGAAGGCGGCAUCCUGGACCGACAUUGACGCUGAGGAGCGAAAGCUAGGGAGCAACGGG